CGCUUAGAGUGCUCAGUAUUUAUUUUCCUUUUCUUUUCUUUCUUUCUUUUUUUUUUUUUUUUGAGAUGGAGUCUCAGUCUGUUGCCCAGGCUGGUGUGCAGUGGUGCGAUCUCGGCUCACUGCAACCUCCACCUCCCAGGAGAACAUUCCCAGUCUGCCUUUCACUGAGUUUUUACCUGUUCACUAGAACGACAAAAGGGAACCAGAUCGAGAAACUCUGCUGUCAACUAAGCAAACCUAAAUUUAACAUUUGAGGGACCCCCUUGGAGAGUAGUUGAGAGCUAUGUGCUCCCCUUUUCAGAAAAAUGCUCUCAAAUACUCAGUGCAUAAGCCCACAGUCUUAGCAGGUUCCCAGACCUUAGGUCAGCAAUCCUGUUCUAAGGCAUACAUCAUGAGCAGCAUUUUGAUUUUCAUCUGGGGAACUUAUAGUUCAUAAAGACCUACUGAUCCAUUAAAAUUUCCACUUGAUUUUGCCAUUAGUAAUCUCUUGAACAAGUCCAAGGAAGCCAGAGGAAGUUAUUUCUUGAAUGCAUUUAUACUAGUGCUUUCAAGAGUUCGUGUUGCUGACUCCAGUUUUUAAAAUUAUUCUCCUCAUCUUCUGCAGUGCCUCGAGGCAUGUUUUUAGCUGAAUAGCAAUAAUGGGAUUGUGCAAUACUGGAAGAAGCAGUAAAAAUAAAAUGUAAUACUAAAAAAAAAA
rnacentral:sRNA from 1 species